AAUGAAGGCAAUCAUGAAUAAAUGUUUAACACUGUUGAUUGUUGGCAAAAAUAAGUCAGGGAUGGAAGCCAGCAAAAAGUGUGGUUCCUCGGUGCUGAGAAAGAAUGUAGGGUUCAAAGUAGGCCAGAAGUUUGGUUUGGAUCCUGGUUUAGACCCUUAAUGCCUGGGUGGUCUUGGUCACCACAUUGAGUCCGACUCCUCCUGCAGUCCUUUGCAGCCUCAAGGACUGUAGCCCACGAGGUUCCUCUGUCCAUGGGAUUCUCCAGGCAAUAAUACUGGAGUGGGUUGCCAUUUCUGACCCAGGGAUGGAAC
ensembl:lncRNA